AUUUACCUGCAAAUAGAUUAGAUAGAUAAUCGACAAUUAUCUUGAUCGAUCAUUGGAAAACGUGUAUCAUUUAUGAAACUAGUUCAAGAUAGUGGAAAUGCCGACGAGAACGUCGAAUGUUUGACGACGAACAUUGUCGACCGAUCGGCAAACAAACCUUAAUGUUUGCACGAAUUCGCGCAGCUAGGUAAUCAGUCUCGGCGAAUGUCACGAUUGAAGUAUCAGAGCCACUGUGUCAAACACGAGUUUAUUCUGUACUGUCAGCUGUCAGAACGAUGGAUGCACGGGAUGAAAAUGGAUGUCCGAAAAACUUACCGACAAAUAGCCCCAUCCUGUCACUACUGCAUUUUUUCCAAUCUCUAUCGAGGUCGUAGAGUCAGCCAGCGUGAUCGGUUUCGUAGUCGGGCUUAUUUUCAGGGGGGUCGACAGCUGCGAGAAAAUAUUUGUGAGAAAAUAAU